rnacentral:rRNA from 1 species
GAUGAACGCUGGCGGCGUGCCUAAUACAUGCAAGUCGAGCGAACGGACGAGAAGCUUGCUUCUCUGAUGUUAGCGGCGGACGGGUGAGUAACACGUGGAUAACCUACCUAUAAGACUGGGAUAACUUCGGGAAACCGGAGCUAAUACCGGAUGAUAUUUUGAACCGCAUGGUUCAAAAGUGAGAGACGGUCUUGCUGUCACUUAUAGAUGGAUCCGCGCUGCAUUAGCUAGUUGGUAAGGUAACGGCUUACCAAGGCAACGAUGCAUAGCCGACCUGAGAGGUGGUUCGGCCAAACGGAACCGAGACCAGGGUCCAAACUCCAAGGGAGGGCGGCGUAGGGAAUCUUCCGCAAUGGGCGAAAGCCUGACGGAGCAACGCCGCGUGAGUGAUGAAGGUCUUCGGAUCGUAAAACUCUGUUAUUAGGGAAGAACAUAUGUGUAAGUAACUGUGCACAUCUUGACGGUACCUAAUCAGAAAGCCACGGCUAACUACGUG